UACGGAAGGCAGCAGUGGGGAAUAUUGCACAAUGGGCGGAAGCCUGAUGCAGCGACGCCGCGUGAGGGAUGACGGCCUUCGGGUUGUAAACCUCUUUCAGUAGGGAAGAAGCGAAAGUGACGGUACCUGCAGAAGAAGCGCCGGCUAACUACGUGCCAGCAGCCGCGGUAAUACGUAGGGCGCAAGCGUUAUCCGGAUUUAUUGGGCGUAAAGAGCUCGUAGGCGGUUUGUCGCGUCUGCCGUGAAAGUCCGAGGCUCAACCUCGGAUCUGCGGUGGGUACGGGCAGACUAGAGUGAUGUAGGGGAGACUGGAAUUCCUGGUGUAGCGGUGAAAUGCGCAGAUAUCAGGAGGAACACCGAUGGCGAAAGGCAGGUCUCUGGGCAUUUUACUGACGCUGAGGAGCGAAAGCAUGGGGAGCGAACAGGGAUUAGAUACC
rnacentral:rRNA from 1 species